AGGUAUUUGGAUGAUUUGCAAGACUUCCUUGGAGGGUCAGCUCAGAGGAAACUCUAUUUAUCCGAACUGUUCUAUUGGGAGAAGUGGUAGAGAUGUGUUGAAGAAAUCCUAGCACCACACAGAGACUUUCCUCAUGACAAUUAGCAGGAUGCCCGACCACCAAUGAAAGCUCCGGACAGCUGGAAGUUGGCUGGAGGAUGCAUGAUCUAGGAUGACCUCUGUCACAUGCCUGGAAGUUAACAGGUGAUUGGCCAGGGGCUGAUGGACUCUCAGCUGGUGUUCACCUUGGAUUUCUGCCAUGUAGUCUCCCAUCUUCCAGCAGGGCAGCUCAGGCUUAUUCAUAUGGUGCCCUAGGAUCUCAAGGGUAGUAGGAAAAAGGCCCUAAUGUCGAAGUAUGUUUCAAUCUUUUGCAUGCAUCAAUCACAUUUACUAAUAUCCUUGGACGAAAGCAAGUCACACGGUGGAGCCAAGAUUCAAGGGACGGUGACUCCACUCUUAAUAGACAAAGAGAAAUCUUGAGCAAUCUAAUCUACCAUACAU